UAAGGCGGCCAUAGCGGCGGGGUUCCUCCCGUACCCAUCCCGAACACGGAAGAUAAGCCCGCCUGCGUUUCGGUCAGUACUGGAGUGGGAGACCCUGAUAGGUGUUCAGU
rnacentral:rRNA from 1 species